UAGAAGGAAGUGUUGUGGGUGCACGGGGAGUUUUGAUUUCCCCAGGUUAGGUUCAAAUCCUUUCUUUCUAA
rnacentral:tRNA from 1 species